rnacentral:piRNA from 1 species
UUCUUGUGAGGAGUGGAAUUCAUAGUG